UAGGGAAUCUUCGGCAAUGGGGGCAACCCUGACUGAGCAACGCCGCGUGAGUGAAGAAGGUUUUCGGAUCGUAAAGCUCUGUUGUGAGAGAAGAACGUGUGUGAGAGUGGAAAGUUCACACAGUGACGGUAACUUACCAGAAAGGGACGGCUAACUACGUGCCAA
rnacentral:rRNA from 1 species